AAAUAUUGAUAUAAAAAUUCUGGAGUGUAUUAUAUAUUAUAAUUCAGUUUGUGGUAUAUUUAUCGUAUAAAUAUUACUAUAUGUUUGGACUAUGUUAUAUAGUUGUAUGAAUUUCACUUUGUAUAAUAUAGUACUAUUAUAUACAACAUAUAUAAAUGACAUAAUGUACAUAUAUAAACAGGUAUGUUCCAUAUAGUGAUAGAUAUAUACGUAUAAUAUAUCUAAUAUAAACCAUCAAAAUCCUACAGAAUAAUGGAACGCAUGAAACACCAUAGGAUGCAUUUCAAUGUUGGAUAUUGCCGGAUCAAGGAAGUAUGUCAAAAGUUCUUUAAGAUGGUAGAGAAUGUCCCAUGAUUUAUGCAUCUUAUCUGGUCAUUAAUUAUUUGCUUAAUCUUUAUAAUAUGCCAUUAGUGUAAAAACAAUCUUUCAUUUAUGUAAUAAAUAAAGAAUAUUAUUAUUUUCUUAAAUAAUUUUUAAAAAGUGCUCACCCAUGUCGAUUCCUCUUUGGAAUUUGGGGUGUGGGCUUAAGGUUAUUGGGCUAAAAAUUAAAAACAAAGUUGGGCUUGGACUAAACUAUUUCGGUAUCUCGAAAUACCGAAAUAUCAAAAACCCAAUCCGUAUACCGAACCGAAUUACCGAAAUACCGAAAUUUUUGUACCGAAAUAAACCGAAAUACCGAAAAAAUCGAAACCGAAAUACCAAAUUAAUUCGGUUUGGUUCGGAAUUCGGUUUUUCGGAUUUUAUGCCCACCCCUAAUACAAAUACCAGUACCGUACAGUUUAUUCCAGUAUGAAAGCUCUUCCUAGACAUUUAUCUUCUUAUAUAUGUACAGAGACAUUUCAGUUACAAGCAUAAAAUAUAUUCCAUAUAGUCUUUUGACAAACAUAUGUUGCAGUUUCCUCGAUCAAGUGAUUCAAGUGGUUAUUAUGCUUUAUUGGUUAGUUUUUUUUUGUAGGCACCUUAUAUGCAAAAAAAUACACCAUGCAUCAGAAAAGAAGACUUAUCAACCGAAGAGCAAGGAGCAUAUCAAUAUGCCACAUGAAUUUCGAAAGGCAACAACCAAUAUCAACCAUAUAAAUCUUGUCAUUACUCCCCUAUAAACUGACAUGAUUGAGUCAAUAAUGCACAAUAUCUCAUACGGUACUUUUUAUUAUAAAAGAAAUAAUCAUCAUUGCCUUCAUAUGGUACUUCAUUCUUUCUUGAAAGGGAAAAGUUAGUGAAGUGGUUCAAAAUCAUAUGGUACUUCAUUCAAAAUGAGCAAGCUGUCUAUUAGGCCUAAUAUUAACACUCAUUCUGAAGUAACAGGAACCAUCAGAAUAUGUAGAUUUUUGAGAAGUCAUGCAAAUGAUCCUUCAAGCAUUGAUCAAACUGAAAACUACAUUGUAACUAUCACAUUUCCAUUUCAUAUUCAUGUUUGAUAUCACAAACAAUUAUGGAAACUCUGAAAGUGCACAAACCAUUUCAUGAGACAAUUCUUAAAGCACCAAUAAUGCCAGAGAAGGAUGUGGAAACAAAUGAUGGGUGUAAUUGGUUGGCUGCUCAAAACUUCAAACAUCACUGGAAAAAAAAGUACUAAUGCAGGAGCUUACAUAGACAUUUCAUGAACUAUGGACUCAACAUGACAUUUUCCUAUGUGAAUCCUUCUCUCUCCUUAUCAAUAGUUAAUUAGUUGAAACACCAAAAAGAUCUCACAAAAUAACUCCUUCUAUCCCAUACUUAUGACACUAUUUGAUCGGUACAGAGUUUUUUAGAUAUUAGUUUAACUUUGUAUUAUAGUAGGUUUGGAAGUAAGUAUUAAGAAGUUGUUAAGAGUUAGUUUGUUCAAGAAAAUAUCACAUUAAGGUUAAAUGUGAAGAUACAUAAACUUUGUGAAAGUUGUAACUUAUCAACAAAAAAAAUUGUGAAUUUGUAUUGGAUUACUAUAAUAUUAAAAUUUUGUCAAACAUUCUAGUAUGUCCUUAAAAUGGAAAGAUUAUUUGGAGAGAUAAAUGAGACAUCAAUACACAAGUCACUAUAACAUAAAAUAUAAAUAAUAUAAGUUAUAUAUAUUGACAAUGUAAUGAUUUUCUUACAUCAUCAUUGUAAUUUAACUUGAUAUAGCUGGUUACUUACCAUUUAUUUUAGGUAAUCAAUUAAUGUUUAUUAAAUAGAGCUACCUGCAAUUAUCUUUUAAAUGACCUCAUUUUGUAAAUAUUUUUUACACCCUUAGCGGAUAGAACUUAAAACUCAAAGAUAAAUAGCUAUGAUAAACUAAGUAUACUAAAAAAUGCUGAUUUUGAAAACACUAAAAAUAAAAACAGUAUAAAUUCAGACUAAAACCAUUCACAAGAAAUGAAGGAUGAACAUACAGUACAACACUUUAAAACAAGGAUUCGGGCGAGAAACCUACAGUAAACCCACGUUAAAUAUACAUCAGUUGAAUGGUAGCCUGAACGACAAAAAUCAAGAUAGACAAGAAAAUUCAGAAUUUAGAAAGUCUACACAGAAUGCAAAGAAGACAAAUUAAAGCAAAGUAAAAUUGAAGCAAAGAAUGUAAGAGUAGUGAAGAAAAGAAUAACCUUUGAAUUCCGAUAAAUGUUGAAGAACAAAUGGUAAAUUGUUCCCGAGCUACCAGUUUAAGCAACUCUUUUAGGUGCGUCAGAAGCUUCUAGCUUUGUCCGGAAGAACCCAAAGGGGAACUCAAAGGGUAAAAAUUAGAAAUAGUCUAAUUACAAUUAGUAAUUUCAAAGAU
rnacentral:lncRNA from 1 species